rnacentral:tRNA from 1 species
AGGUAAGAUGGCUGAAGCAGAAGCGUCGGAUUGUAGCUCCGCUCAUAGAGGUUUGAGUCCUCUUCUUCCCA